rnacentral:misc_RNA from 1 species
GAUGAAGAACGUAGCGAAAUGCGAUAAGUAAUGUGAAUUGCAGAAUUCAGUGAAUCAUCGAAUCUUUGAACGCGCAUUGCGCCCCUUGGUAUUCCGAGGGGCAUGCCUGUUCGAGCGUCAUUAUAACCCUCAAGCUCAGCUUGGUGUUGGGGCCUGCUGCACUGGCAGCCCUUAAAAUCAGUGGCGGCGCCAUCUGGCUCUAAGCGUAGUAAUUCUUCUCGCUAUGGAGUCCUGGUGGAUGCUUGCCAUCAACCCCCAAUUUUUCUAUGGUUGACCUCGGAUCAGGUAGGGAUACCCGCUGAACUUAAGCAUAUCAAUAAGCGGGGA